rnacentral:misc_RNA from 1 species
GAUGAAGAAAGUAGCGAAAUGCGAUAAGUGGUGUGAAUUGCAGAAUUCAGUGAAUCAUCGAAUCUUUGAACGCACAUUGCGCCCCUUGGUAUCCCGAGGGGCAUGCCUGUUCGAGCGUCAUUUCACCACUCAAGCCUGGCUUGGUGUUGGGCGACGUCCCCUUUGGGGACGCGCCUCGAAACGCUCGGCGGCGUGGCACCGGCUUUAAGCGUAGCAGAAUCUUUCGCUUUGGAAGUCGGGGCCCCGUCUGCCGGAAGACCUACUCGCAAGGUUGACCUCGGAUCAGGCAGGGAUACCCGCUGAACUUAAGCAUAUCAAUAAGCGGAGGA